rnacentral:rRNA from 1 species
UACGAAGGGUGCAAACGUUGCUCGGAAUCAUUGGGCGUAAAGCGCACGUAGGCGGCCCUGUAAGUCGGAUGUGAAAUCCCUCGGCUCAACUGAGGACGUGCAUCCGAAACUGCAGAGCUCGAGUAUGGAAGAGGGUCGCGGAGUUCCCGGUGUAGAGGUGAAAUUCGUAGAUAUCGGGAGGAACACCAGUGGCGAAGGCGGCGACCUGGGCCAAUACUGACGCUGAGGUGCGAAAGCGUGGGGAGCAAACAGG